GAUGAACGCUAGCGGCAGGCUUAACACAUGCAAGUCGAGGGGUAACAUUGUAGCUUGCUACAGAUGACGACCGGCGCACGGGUGCGUAACGCGUAUAGAACCUACCUUUUACUGAGGAAUAGCCUUUAGAAAUGAAGAUUAAUGCCUCAUAGUAUUGAGAUUCGGCAUCGAGUUUUAAUUAAAGAUUUAUUGGUAAAAGAUGGCUAUGCGUCCUAUUAGUUAGAUGGUAAGGUAACGGCUUACCAUGACUUCGAUAGGUAGGGGUCCUGAGAGGGAGAUCCCCCACACUGGUACUGAGACACGGACCAG
rnacentral:rRNA from 1 species